rnacentral:piRNA from 1 species
UUGGUUUCUCUGCUUUUCUCAGCUGGGA